AACUGAUACUACCUGCGGGAACCUGCGGAAGGAUCAUUACCGAGUUCAUGCCCUCACGGGUAGAUCUCCCACCCUUGUGUAUUCUAUGUUUGUGUUGCUUUGGCAGGCCGUGGGCCUCGCCCACCACCGGCUCUCGGGCUGGUGCGCGCCUGCCAGAGGACUCUUUAAACUCUGUUUGUUAGUGUCGUCUGAGUAUGAUAACAAUCGUUAAAACUUUCAGCAAUGGAUCUCUAGAUCGGA
rnacentral:misc_RNA from 1 species